UAAGAGGCUGCUGAAUUUAAGAAACAAAGUUAGCCAGGUAAGACCUGUCCACAGGGAAGAAAAGCAUCUUUUACUUCUAGUUCAUAAAAAGGCAAGCAGCCAUUUAUAUGCUUCAAGUUUUAGCCAGGGUAGCUGGCUGUACUUCUAAGAAUCAAAGUCUUGGAGUAGAACAUUGCUGACAAGUAGGUGAGCACUGAAAAGUCUCUAAAAGCUUAAUGAUCUGGAUGCUAAGGAACCUUCUCCAUUGAUGACUCUUCAUAGCUGGUAAUGAGUAAUAAUAAAUAAUUCUGUUAAACAUUGAUUGCAGGUUUUUCUAAUAUGAGAUAGGAACAGAUCAGGUGGUCAUUCCUACCAGGGAGAAGUGAGGGUAAGUGGUUGUGCCGGACAAGGAGGUAAGAAAUACCAGUCUCCAACCAUCCAUGUGUAUAUCAAGUGGUGUGGAUUUUACUUUCUGGGAGAAGAACUGUGGUGGACUUUACUUGUCAUGGGGAGAGUAUGAAAAGCAGACGCAAGACAAAGCAACAUGGACUUGCCACUGGCUCAAUCCAGGAAUUAGCUGAUCCAUCUUUUAAGGAGGUAAGAAAUACAAUACGCCAUUCGCAUAAUAGUAAAUGAUUCUGCUCAUACUUUCAGGUGGAGGAAAUGUAACUGAUGAAAUCUUCAUCUCUAAAGAGCACAAGAACUUGCUUUACUGAAGAAAGCAAUAAAAAUGGGAGCUACCGGUUCAGAUGUGAAAGAAAGGCAGUGCUGACCUCUCAAGGGAGGAAGAUUCCAAGACAUGGCUGAACUUAAGAAUGCAGGCAGGCAGGUGAUCAUCAUUCAAGAUGUGAGGGGAUCAGAUGAGCA